UGGAAAAGUUUUCCUGGAUUCCUGCUGUUCCCUCAUCCUGCUAUCCUCGUCAGUGCCCAACAUUGGCUUCAUAAAUCAAGGGUGGAGAACUUGUUCUUGUUACCCUUGACCUACAGGAGAAAAAAAAAUUCAAAGUCCCAUAAAUAAAAAGUAAUCUUUUUCUUCCCCAAGGGAAACAAAUGUGGCAUUUUCUCUUCAUCUGGUGUUUAAAAUGAAAAGGUUGAAUGAUGCUUGCCUAUGACCUUUUUUCUAAACCUCAUUCUAGGUAAUAGCCAUUUAAUGGAAGGUGGGAAAAGGAGGAAGGAGGAAACAGAGAAGAUGGUACUAGAACAAGGAUUGGGUGAGAAAGACAGAAGAUGGAUAUUUGCGUGUUGGAUACUCAUGGAGAAACGUGAUACAGUGAUGAACUAAAAGGCCCCGUAAUUACAUUGAAGAUUAAGUCGGCAUUUUUCAAGCCUGGAUUCCACGAAUUGCAAAUCUUCAUUCUGGUAAGACUUCGCCAGGUUGGAUGAUGUUUAUGGAACACCCAAUAGUCCAGAGACAGGUAAGCAUCUCCUUGGUACCACAUUUGCCAUUUAGGUCAUUGCCCUAUUAGUGCCACCUGUCAGCAGAGCAUAUGUUCAGCUCUCCCCAGGAUUACAGGAUUGAAAAGCAAAUUAAAAAGAUGUAAUGUAAUCAAAUGUUGCUCCUUCUCUUUUCUUUGUUUUCCAAAAAACCAACAAAAAAUAACAAGAUGGCUAUUACCUUUAGAAGAUAAAUAUAAAAAUAUGAACGUGAAUUGUAAGAUACAAGAUCCAUUGGUAAAUAUUAGACUAUUUCUUCAGUCCCUAAUAUUGCAUUAAUUCUACCCUGGUUUCCCUAACUUUGAAAGCUAAGUAACAGCCUCCUUAAACUCACGUUGGUCUUAAACUCAGGACAGAUUCCAAGCCCUACCACGAUUAAUCCAAACUCGAGGUGUUCCUAUUUACACAGAGAAACAAUCUUGCCUGCUUGCAAAACAUGAAAAUCUGGUAAAUGCCUACUUUGUCCUUCUUAGGGUGCCAUUCCUGAAAUUGCCAGCUUACUCUAGUCUUUCCAUGAGUCUACUGUGUACUCAUUUAAGGCCCUCUGAUAUCAUGCUGUUAUAAUAGUCCCUGCGAAUUCCACUCAAUAUCCGAAGAGUUACAGGAAUUUUGAGAGAAAUUGGUUACUAAUCUGGACUACAUGAAAAUUUUAAGACUUGUCUCUGUUAGAAGAGCUUAUCCUUUCUAUUUUGUCUUUCAGGCUUUUGGAAUUACUUGAACACACAGAAAUAUUUCAAACCACAGUUUCUAGUGAAUAUCUUCACAAUGGACCCACACAAUUCUGCCUAUAGAAACUUGACCCACUGGUUGGGUGGAAUUAAGCGGAAGCUUGGAUUUAAUAUUUGUCUUGCAGUUUUUGCUCAUUAAUUUAUCUUUCAGUCCUCUACCUUUAUUCUUCUGCUCAUUAACAAUACACGUUACUAUGACACCUUUGUGGACCCAUCUAAGGGGUUAGAAGAAAUGUUGACGGUAAUCCAUCUUUGGAUUCUCUCAGUGAUAUUUGAUGAAUCUGUGCCAGCAGGAGCUCUUCCUCAGUUCUAAUGUCAAUUUCUACUCAGAAGAGAGUCAAUAAUAAAAAAAAAGAAGAAGAGAGUCA
rnacentral:lncRNA from 12 species